UACGGGGGGGGCAAGCGUUGUUCGGAAUUACUGGGCGUAAAGGGCUCGUAGGCGGCCAACUAAGUCAGACGUGAAAUCCCUCGGCUUAACCGGGGAACUGCGUCUGAUACUGGAUGGCUUGAGUUUGGGAGAGGGAUGCGGAAUUCCAGGUGUAGCGGUGAAAUGCGUAGAGAUGUGGAGGAACACCGAUGGCGAAGGCAGCCUUCUGGGCCAACACUGACGCUCAUGCACGAAAGCGUGGGGAGCAAACAGG
rnacentral:rRNA from 1 species